rnacentral:lncRNA from 1 species
UUUCUUUGUACUUUGGGAGUCUAGCUACUGUCCAGGCUCUUUGUUUCUAAUGAUAAUUUGCUUUGACUGUUCUAAAAAAUACACAUUCGAUAAUGUGUGCCCAAACUCAUUAAUACGAACCAAUUGAGAUUUGUUUUUUCUCCUUUGAAUUUAUGCUUAAAGUCUGCUUUUUGUGUGUAGAAGCUUCACAAAUUAGGCUAGCUAAACAAAUCAUUUUGGUCUUCAAAGGGCAGAAGACAUCGAUCGAUAGAGUGAUAGAGUGCUGAGAAACAUUAUUUCUUCUCUGUUCAACUGGAUUUCUCGUAGGACCAAUCAUAUGGAAACUUGCUGGAACUCUUGGUCCUCGAAUCUCCUUUGUAACUUGUAAUAUGCCAUAGUUGUUCUUUGUUUUGUUCGUUUGUAUCCAACAGCUCUUUGCUGGAGGCGUUUCUUUCGCCUUGUUUUAAUGAUAUCC